ACCCGACGGCGUCACCACCUGCGGUGCCGCUGGCCGAGCCCUAUCUCCGAUCGCCGAGCAGAGCAGGUCUCUUGCUUCUACCUUAGCUCUGUGCCCUAGUGUCCGACAUCUCCUGGAACAGCCGAGUCUUCCUCUCGCACGAAAUCAGCACAGCAGUGCCCUUUCGCCACUGUCCUUGUGCCCUAGCAUCGGUCGGCCAGCCGUCAAGUGCUAGCAGCAACUUUGACGGAUCCUAGGUCAUCACAGGCAGUAGGAGGGAAGAGCAGCUUCUCCGGGUCUCGACGGUAAGUUCUUCAGGAUUUGAGCAGCACUGAGGCAUCGAAAAAUUUGAGGUUGAUGCUGUCAGGAGGGAGUUCCAAUCGCUGGUCCCCACAGCACGUAGUGCUACUCCUCUGCUGAUUUUUGAGUUGUUUUAUUUUAGCUUUUCGCUAUCAGACUUUGUUUUAGUUUUGUUUUGGACUUUACAUAUGGAUAGUGUAUGAAAUCUUUCCAUUUGAUGGACUUUUGGUAUGAUUUGGUUUUAUUCUA